UUGACAAAUUGAAGAGAGAUCAUGGAUACCGUAUUUAGAGAGAAGCUCGAAAAAGAACACAGAGAGAGCAAGGAAACUGGGAAGGUGAAACUCGAACGAGAGAAGAAAGACAAGGAGGCUGCUGAAAGGCAACGCCAAGCCGUUGAAGCUUCUCAAAGAGCCAAAAGGCUUGAAGCCAUUGAAUCCCAGAUGAUGAAGGUUGAGCCUGCUGAAAGGCAAAGAGAAGCCGUUGAAUUCUUUCAAAGAGCCAGAAGGUUUGAAGCCAUAUGUAUGUUUUAUCAUUUAGAAAUUCGAUUUUCAUUAGAAAACGGAUAUCGUCAUCUUUCGUCUUAACCUUGGUGAAGAAAAAGAAGAAGAAGAUGACAUACGUAGAGUAGGUGGAGAUUUUAUUAUAAAAGCCAUAAUACCUCCAUGGAUGAUGAAGACGAAUAUGCCGCAAAGGGUAGCACUAGAGGGAGAUGACAAUGUUUUUGAAUGGGAUGAUGAUGAUGAAGAAGGUGCUAAGUUGGAAAUAGGAGACGCUCCUGGUACAGCAGGAAACUGUAAAAGGUUUAUUUGGAAUGUGAGAGCAGACAAAGAGAAGAAUAAGAAGAAGAAGACAACGGCUGAUGGGAAGAAUACUGAAAGCUAAUGGAUUAACCAUUGAUCAUAUAGAAUAACGAUGGUUUCAGUGCGAUUAAGUUAUGGUUAUGUCAAGUGUUGGUCUCUGUGUCUUUCCAUUUUGUGUUUAUGCAGCAAGACUCGUCUUUUAUAAUAU